GGUAUGGCUCAGUUGGUUAGAGCGCUAGGUUGUGGCCCUGGAGACCGUGGGUUCGAGUCCCACUAC
rnacentral:tRNA from 1 species